rnacentral:miRNA from 1 species
UCUUGUCCCUUUGUCGUCGUUCU